AUUCCCAGGCUGGUCUGAGCUCCGGGGCCGUGGUCCCGCUGCCUCCUCUGGUCGUUGUGCGGAAGCUGCCACGCAGGCAGACCAUGGCAGAGUUCUCCCAGAAACGGGGGAAGCGGCGUGGCGACGAGGGGCUGGGCAGCAUGGUGGACUUCCUUCUGGCCAAUGCCCGCCUGGUGCUGGGCGUGGGCGGGGCUGCUGUGCUGGGCAUUGCCACCCUGGCCGUGAAGCGGGUAAGGCCAGGUGGGCGGGUCAUGUCUGAAGCUCCUAGAGGAGGACAACAGGGUUGGGCUUUUCAGAGGGGCCCUGGGGAGGUGUGGGGACUGCCCCAGGCCUUCAUGGGAGCCCAGGGCACCUGCUUCUCCACCCAGCACGCUGGUCUGCUUUGCCCUUGGGCUUUGCUGUGACUGCCCAGACUUCAUAUACACUGAUCUGUGUGACUGUGCCUGCAGUUCAUUGACAGGGCCACUAGCCCGCGGGAUGAGGACGACACCAAGGCAGACAGCUGGAAGGAACUGAGCCUGCUCAAGGCCACACCACACCUGCAG
rnacentral:sRNA from 1 species